rnacentral:tRNA from 1 species
AUAUAAGAAAUGAUAUAUCAUAUAUGAUUUCGGCUCAUACCUAGGUGGUUAAACACCCUUAUAUU